GAUGUGCUGGGCCUGACCAGCCGCCCGCUUUCCUCUUCUCUUGCCUCUGCCUGCCCCCUGGUGGACAGCUGGGGUAAAGCAUGGGAGUGCGCCUUUGGGGUCUCAGUGGGGCUGAAAUACGACUCCUCCCCUAGGACAGCCUGCCUUCCCCAGCCUUGUUCUCCGGCAAAGUCAAUUUCCUGGAGAAUCGAGGCUCUGCCUCAGAUGUUCGGAGCCUCCGCAGGAUGAACACCUCCAUUUCAAUUCCAGGGGCUUUGAUCAACCUGUGCCUCCCUUGAUCCCCAACUUGUGGGCACCUUCCCUUGAGCAGUGCCCCCACGAGGUACACCUUUCCCGGGAAACAAAAAUCAUUCCUUCUUUGGGUCCUGCAAGCUGUAAAGAACCAAUACAGCACUGUGCUACUGAACAUGUUGCCACUAUAGAAGCCCCUUGUGUUUUGAAGAGUACAUCUCUAUAGCCAUUCGUUUAUUCAUCAGAAACCAGCUAGAAGCCAGGCCCUGUGCUGGGCGCUGGAGACAUGGAAGAAACUGGGCUGAGGCUCCCGCCUUGAAGAGCUUGUGGCCCAGGGAAGGGACAGUUCAUCUGUCAUUGAUUGCCACGUGACAGUGUCUAUGAUGCUAAAAAGAUGCCAGUGCUGUGCUGCAGGAGCAAAGGCCGUGGAGGAAGAGGCUUUGGCUUUGUUGCGAGUCCUUGCCAGAGCCAGGCAAAGCCAGUCACCGCUUUGUUCAGAUGACUCAGGUAAAUAAAUGAGGCCGCACAGGCUGUCCUGACACCACACACCUCUAGAAUACCCUGGCUGUGCUGGGAGCUAUUGGUGUCAGCUGAGUAUUUUCAUCCCUGUCCAAGUCACAAUGAUCUGACUGUACCAGCCUGUGUGGAUGUUGCUAAGAGGAGGCAGACAGCACCAUGAGCUCCCUUAGAUGACGAUCGGCAUGAUGUUCCUGCUGUGGCAGCGCUCAGCUCUUGCCAAUGCUCUUCUCUGCUUUGCUCACUUUAAGCCUCCCUUAAUUUUUUUGAAGCCCAGUUUCCACAUUGCUGAUUCACAGAUAUGCAAGACUCAGGCAGGAAAAAAAAAAGGAAAGGCUGGAAGAAAAACACAUUAGUGUUCUUCCAAACUCUUGACUUUUGGAAAAAAUUAGCAUAGAGAGGAUGGAUGCUCAGAUUAAGUUGCCACUUCCGGAACUCUUUCUCCUGUGCUAUAUUACAAAAAAGAAAGUGAUUUUUGAACUCGGAUAGCUUAGAUGUUGCUUCUUAAAAAUAAAUGUAAUCUCUUGACAGAAUAUCUAAAAAGACAGAUUAUUGAUUUUAAUCUCUCAGGAGACCUAACCUCUUCACGAUCCAGGUUUCCUGAUUUUCAGACCUGAGUUAAGUUGCUAUGGAUACAGAGUGACAGGCCAGUGAAGGAAACUGGGGACAGGGAGUGGCCUGCCCACAGGGUCUCCUUUUCCAGACUUCUUAGAGGACUUGGAAAGAAAAUGAAAUGACGUUGAACGAAAUCAAAGUAAAUUGAGUGAUCUGAAACGAUUUGAUGUCAGCAAGAAUUCCCCAUACAGCUCACAGCCCUACCCCGAGCACGCCUCCCUCUUGGGUAUGGUCUCUGCAGGCCCAAACCUUGCAGAAGCCAUUCCAUGUUUCCUGAGCAGGAAAAGACAAACUCAGACCGACAACCUUGGACUUCAAAAGACUGCACACAAGGGGAGGAAGGACUGAGAGUACCAAGGCGUGAGAAUUCAGAAUGCUGCUAUCUCAUUUAUUUUUACCAUUUAGGAAACGUUUUGAUCUGCAUUCCUUUUCCCUUCCCUGAUUUCAAAAAAUAAAAAUAAAAAUGCUUCGGUUCUGAGGAGUAACUCUCCAG
rnacentral:lncRNA from 1 species